rnacentral:rRNA from 1 species
ACCUUAUCAUUUAGAGGAAGGAGAAGUCGUAACAAGGUUCCCGUAGGUGAACGCGGAAGGAUCAUUGUCGAAACCUGCCUGGCAGAACAACCCGCGAAUCGUUGUCAAAGCGCAUCAAGGGGUGAGUCGGGCAAAAGCCCCGAUCGCUGUUUGGCGUCCCCUGUUCGGCGAUGACCACACUUGUGGCGUCGCCACUAGCAGGAACAACAUCUACCCCCGACGCAGAACGCGCCAAGGAAAACAAAAGGUGGAGGAACGCUCUUAUGCUCCCGGACACGGUGAGCAUCCGAACGUUCCACCCAAAGUCGAACCAAAACGACUCUCGGCAACGGAUAUCUCGGCUCUCGCAUCGAUGAAGAACGUAGCAAAAUGCGAUACUUGGUGUGAAUUGCAGAAUCCCGUGAACCAUCGAGUCUUUGAACGCAAGUUGCGCCCGAAGCCUUUUGGUUGAGGGCACGUCUGCCUGGGUGUCACACAACGUCGUCCCCCAACCCAACGCUCUGUUACAGGGGACGUCGGGCGGGACGGAAGCUGGUCUCCCGUGGCGAUCCGCCGCGGUUGGCCGAAUUUUGAGUCCGGGCACGAAAAGCCAGAACAACCGGUGGUUGGAAGAUCCUCGAUCGAUUUGUCGUGGCGUUUCGUGCGAAGAAACCGGAUCAGGACCCAAGCACCAGGUGCUUUCAUUUGCGACCCCGUCAGGCGGAUUACCCGCUGAGUUUAAGCAUAUCA